rnacentral:rRNA from 1 species
CUCCGUAGGGUGACCUGCGGAGGGAUCAUUACCGAGUUUACAACUCCCAAACCCCUGUGAACAUACCAAUUGUUGCCUCGGCGGAUCAGCCCGCUCCCGGUAAAACGGGACGGCCCGCCAGAGGACCCCUAAACUCUGUUUCUAUAUGUAACUUCUGAGUAAAACCAUAAAUAAAUCAAAACUUUCAACAACGGAUCUCUUGGUUCUGGCAUCGAUGAAGAACGCAGCAAAAUGCGAUAAGUAAUGUGAAUUGCAGAAUUCAGUGAAUCAUCGAAUCUUUGAACGCACAUUGCGCCCGCCAGUAUUCUGGCGGGCAUGCCUGUUCGAGCGUCAUUUCAACCCUCAAGCCCCCGGGUUUGGUGUUGGGGAUCGGCGAGCCCUUGCGGCAAGCCGGCCCCGAAAUCUAGUGGCGGUCUCGCUGCAGCUUCCAUUGCGUAGUAGUAAAACCCUCGCAACUGGUACGCGGCGCGGCCAAGCCGUUAAACCCCCAACUUCUGAAUGUUGACCUCGGAUCAGGUAGGAAUACCCGCUGAACUUAAGCAUAUCAAUAAGUCGGAGGAA